rnacentral:misc_RNA from 1 species
GCGGCGCUGAACAUCGUGCCGACGAGCACCGGCGCCGCGAAGGCCGUGGCGCUGGUGCUCCCGCAGCUGAAGGGGAAGCUCAACGGCAUCGCGCUGCGCGUGCCGACCCCGAACGUGUCCGUGGUGGACCUGGUGAUCAACACCGUGAAGACCGGCAUCACCGCCGACGACGUGAACGCCGCGUUCCGCAAGGCCGCGGCGGGGCCACUCAGCGGCAUCCUCGACGUCUGCGACGUGCCGCUGGUGUCCGUCGACUUCCGCUGCUCCGACGUCUCCUCCACCAUCGACGCCUCGCUCACCAUGGUCAUGGGCGACGACAUGGUCAAGGUGGUCGCCUGGUACGACAACGAGUGGG